CCUACGGGAGGCAGCAGUGAGGAAUAUUGGUCAAUGGGCGUAAGCCUGAACCAGCCAAGUCGCGUGAGGGAUGAAGGUUCUCUGGAUCGUAAACCUCUUUUAUAAGGGAGUAAAGUGCGGGACGUGUCCCGUUUUGUCUGUACCUUAUGAAUAAGGAUCGGCUAACUCCGUGCCAGCAGCCGCGGUAAUACGGAGGAUCCGAGCGUUAUCCGGAUUUGUUGGGUUUAAAGGGUGCGUAGGCGGCCUUUUAAGUCAGCGGUGAAAGUCUGUGGCUCAACCAUAGAAUUGCCGUUGAAACUGGGAGGCUUGAGUAUGGUUGAGGCAGGCGGAAUGCGUGGUGUAGCGGUGAAAUGCGUAGAGAUCACGAAGAACCCCGAUGGCGAAGGCAGCCUGCCAAGCCAUGACUGACGCUGAUGCACGAAAGCGUGGGGAGCAAACAGGAUUAGAUACCCCAGUAGUC
rnacentral:rRNA from 1 species